UCUCACUCCAUAAAAACCCCUUUUUCUUCCUUCCCAUUCACAUUCACAUUCCUCUCUCUCUCUCUCUCUCUGUCUGCACUUUUUUCUCAUGGGAGAGACUGAAAAGAUUGCAAAGCAGAAACCCAUAACCCUCAACAAAUUUCCACAAUUACAAGGUUUUGUCCACUUUCCUGGAUGCAUCACUAUCAAAUGGGAGCCUGCAAGUGUAAAGGGAGGAAGCCUUCCUCAACAGCACAAAGACUGUUCUACCACCAAAUAUGGCCUUCAAUUCAUCAAUAUUGCUUCUUCAUCUUGACUAUGUCUAGGUGCUAUCCUGCCUGAGCUUUUCUACGUCUACAUCUACAUCUUUUUUUUAACUUUGUAUCGUGUUUUCUUGACCUUGUAAGACCUUUUCUUGACCUUGUAAGACCCUCUGUUGUGUCAUUGAUUUUUCAUUUUUGUUUCAUUUUGGAUACGACAACAGAAUUUUCCGUUGUCGUAUAUAUCCAUUUCCAUUCUUGAUUGCCGCCCAUCUCAUGUUCUCCUUCCUUGUCUAUCCCUCCUGAGCUAUUAGAAUUCGGAACAUCUAUGUGUAUAUAUCCCAAUGGAGUUGAGAAACACUAAAAAUCUUCACAUUUUGGCUUCUACAUAUUAUUAUUCAUCAAAGAUUGUAAUGUGAUCAUCACACUGUCCAUAUUAAUUUCUGUCUAGCUACAUAUGUUUGUCUUUUAGUAUAUGUUGCAGUGUGUAUAUUAUUAUUGUGGGAGCGAGGGCCAUGAUGAGGCAGAGGCAGAUGGUAGACAUUCUGUGUGAAAUUUCAGACCCUCCUCAGUUUCGGUGUUUUAUUAUAUGUUGUUAGGGUGAAAAGUUAGUAUGAGAAUAAAUAUUCUUGCAGAGAAAUCUGUUGGAAGA